UACGUAGGGUGCGAGCGUUAAUCGGAAUUACUGGGCGUAAAGCGUGCGCAGGCGGUUUUGUAAGCCAGAUGUGAAAUCCCCGGGCUUAACCUGGGAAUGGCAUUUGGGACUGCAAGGCUUGAGUGCGGCAGAGGGGACUGGAAUUCCUGGUGUAGCAGUGAAAUGCGUAGAGAUCGGGAGGAACACCAGUGGCGAAGGCGGCUACCUGGACCAGCACUGACACUGAAGCACGAAAGCGUGGGGAGCAAACAGG
rnacentral:rRNA from 1 species